rnacentral:tRNA from 2 species
GCCGGCGUAGCUCAACGGCAGAGCACCGGUUUUGUAAACCGGGGGUUGGGGGUCCGAAUCCCCCCGCCGGCUCCA